rnacentral:rRNA from 1 species
GUGAGGAAUCUUGCGCAAUGGGGGAAACCCUGACGCAGCAACGCCGCGUGAGUGAGGAAGGUCUUCGGAUCGUAAAGCUCUGUCAGGUGGGAAGAAACGCAAUGAGGUAAAUAAUCUUGUUGCCUGACGGUACCACCAGAGGAAGCACCGGCCAACUCCGUGCCAGCAGCCGCGGUAAUACGGGGGGUGCAAGCGUUGUUCGGAAUCAUUGGGCGUAAAGAGCGUGUAGGCGGCUGGAUAAGUCAGAUGUGAAAGCCCUGGGCUUAACCCAGGAAGUGCAUUUGAAACUGUUCAGCUUGAGUAAGGGAGAGGAAAGUGGAAUUCCUGGUGUAGAGGUGAAAUUCGUAGAUAUCAGGAGGAACACCAGUGGCGAAGGCGACUUUCUGGCCCUAUACUGACGCUGAGACGCGAGAGCGUGGGUAGCAAACAGGAUUAGAAACCCUAGUAGUCC